rnacentral:rRNA from 1 species
AAGAGGCUCUCACAGACUUCUAAAUAAGGAAUAGAACAACUGAAAACUGAGUUAAUUUUGGUUGCUAAGCUGCACCACAGGAAUCUUGUCAGGCUUAUUGGUGUUUGCUUGGAGGGACAUGAGAAAAUACUUGUGUAUGAGUACAUGCCAAAUGGAAGUCUUGAUACCAUUCUAUUUGAUAGCGAGAAAUCCAAGCAGCUAGACUGGGGGAGGAGGUCCAAGAUUAUAAAUGGAGUUAUUCUGGGCUUACAACAUCUUCAUGAAGAUUCACAACUGAAGAUAGUUCACCAGGACCUCAAAGAAAACAAUAUCCUUUUAGACUCUGAUUACAAUCCUAAGAUCUCAGACUUCAGCUUAGCAAAGAUAUUUGAAGGCGAUCGAUCACAAAUUGUCACUCAUCGCAUUGCUGGAACAUAUGGGUACAUGACGCCUGAAUACGCAAUGUGUGGUCAGUAUUCCAUCAAAUCGGAUGUAUUCAGCCUCGGUGUUUUAAUUUUGGAGAUCGUCACUGGAAGAAGAAGUUAUCGACCCUACGACUUGGAGCAAGACACUGAUCUCAUAAACCUUCCGAGUAUAUAG